CUACGUGCCAGCAGCCGCGGUAAUACGUAGGUCCCGAGCGUUGUCCGGAUUUAUUGGGCGUAAAGCGAGCGCAGGCGGUUAGAUAAGUCUGAAGUUAAAGGCUGUGGCUUAACCAUAGUACGCUUUGGAAACUGUUUAACUUGAGUGCAAGAGGGGAGAGUGGAAUUCCAUGUGUAGCGGUGAAAUGCGUAGAUAUAUGGAGGAACACCGGUGGCGAAAGCGGCUCUCUGGCUUGUAACUGACGCUGAGGCUCGAAAGCGUGGGGAGCAAACAGGAUUAGAUACCCUGGUAGUCCACGCCCUAAACGAUGUCAACUAGGCGUCGGGUCGUUAAGAUUCGGUGCCGCAGCUAACGCAUUAAGUUGACCGCCUGGGGAGUACGGCCGCAAGGUUGAAACUCAAAGAAAUUGACGGGGACCCGCACAAGCGGUGGAGCAUGUGGUUUAAUUCGAUGCAACGCGAAGAACCUUACCUGGUCUUGACAU
rnacentral:rRNA from 1 species